UGAGGAAUAUUGGGCAAUGGGGGCAACCCUGACCCAGCCAUGCCGCGUGAGUGAAGAAGGUUUUCGAAUUGUAAAGCUCUUUCGGAUGUGACGAUGAUGACGGUAGCAUCUAAAGAAGCCCCGGCAAACUUCGUGCCAGCAGCCGCGGUAAUACGAAGGGGGCGAGCGUUGUUCGGAAUUACUGGGCGUAAAGGGCGCGUAGGCGGAUCGUUAAGUCAGAGGUGAAAUCCCGGAGCUCAACUUCGGAAUUGCCUUUGAUACUGGCGAUCUUGAGUGUGAGAGAGGUAUGUGGAACUCCGAGUGUAGAGGUGAAAUUCGUAGAUAUUCGGAAGAACACCAGUGGCGAAGGCGACAUACUGGCUCAUUACUGACGCUGAGGCGCGAAAGCGUGGGGAGCAAACAGGAUUAGAUACCC
rnacentral:rRNA from 1 species